UACGAAGGGGGCUAGCGUUGUUCGGAAUCACUGGGCGUAAAGCGCACGUAGGCGGAUCUUUAAGUCAGGGGUGAAAUCCCGAGGCUCAACCUCGGAACUGCCUUUGAUACUGGGGAUCUUGAGUCCGGAAGAGGUAAGUGGAACUGCGAGUGUAGAGGUGAAAUUCGUAGAUAUUCGCAAGAACACCAGUGGCGAAGGCGGCUUACUGGUCCGGAACUGACGCUGAGGUGCGAAAGCGUGGGGAGCAAACAGG
rnacentral:rRNA from 1 species